rnacentral:tRNA from 1 species
GCGAGCGUUGGUUAAUUGGUAAACCACCGGUCUCCAAAACCGGGACUCUCAGUUCGAGUCUGAGCGCUCGUGC